AUGCACUGCUAAAGGCUUCGCAAGCAUCGAUGUUGUUGCUUGCGGAGAAACCAACGGUGCAAGAUU
rnacentral:snoRNA from 1 species